rfam:Hordeum vulgare subsp. vulgare, WGS project CAJW01000000 data, contig: morex_contig_134780
CACAUACUCCUUCCGUCCCAAAAUUCUUGUCUUAAAUUUGUCUAAACAUAAAUGUAUCUAGUCAUGUUUUAGUAUUUAGGUACAUUUAUUUUUAGACAAACCUAAGACAAGAAUUUUGAGACGGAGGGAGUAUAAA